GUGUCAGCAGCCGCGGUAAGACGUAGGGGGCGAGCGUUGUCCGGAUUUAUUGGGCGUAAAGCGCGCGUAGGCGGCCCGUUAAGUCGGAUGUGAAAACCCGUGGCUCAACCACGGGCCUGCAUCCGAUACUGGCGGGCUCGAGGCAGGCAGGGGAGAUCGGAAUUCCUGGUGUAGCGGUGAAAUGCGCAGAUAUCAGGAGGAACACCGGUGGCGAAGGCGGAUCUCUGGGCCUGUCCUGACGCUCAGGCGCGAAAGCUAGGGGAGCAAACAGGAUUAGAUACCCUGGUAGUCC
rnacentral:rRNA from 1 species